rnacentral:tmRNA from 1 species
GGGGGUGACCGGUAUCGACAGGAUGGGGAAGAUGGAUAGUGCAGGUUGUGCUAGCUGACAUAAUCACAUAAAACUUAAGUCAGAAAAACUAUAACUGCCAAUAACGCAGAUUACGAUUUAGCCUUAGCUGCUUAAUCCUUGGUUGCUCUUCAUACCAAGUGUCCAAGAAGAGUAUAACAAACAAAUACGCCUUUGUCAAUAUGGGCGGAGCGAACCGAAUUGACUGUUUUGUCUGUUUUUGAAAAAACUGACUAAGCCUGUAACGACUUGAAAUUGUAACUAUUUUGGACGCGGGUUCGAUUCCCGCCGCCUCCACCA